UACGUAGGUGGCAAGCGUUGUCCGGAUUUACUGGGCGUAAAGGGCGUGCAGGCGGUCUGUUAAGUGCAGGGUGAAAGCUCCCGGCUCAACUGGGAGAGGUCCUUGCAUACUGGCGGACUUGAGGGGGGUAGAGGAAAGUGGAAUUCCCGGUGUAGUGGUGAUAUGCGUAGAUAUCAGGAAGAACACCCGUGGCGAAGGCGGCUCUCUGGAACGCAACUGACGCUGAGACGCGAAAGCGUGGGGAGCAAACAGG
rnacentral:rRNA from 1 species